rnacentral:RNase_MRP_RNA from 1 species
UCCUCGCUCAAAGAAUCGCAGUCAAAGCUCACAAACAGAAAGACAUGCCCACAAAGCUAUCUUUCACAUCUACACGAAUGCUUUGGGAGAAAGUCCCCGGACAGCUCGCUCUUGCGAGAAUUGCGGAAACGCGCCGCCAUAGAAGCAACCUUCGCGGCUUACUUCCUCUCCACCUCCCUUCCUUCACAUCCGCUUUCCCUGAUCGUCUGCACUCUCUACCACCGUGUUCACGCUUGGUGAAAGCAGGUGCUGGGAAAAGCCCUCAUGGACGAUGAUACGAGUCCGCGCUUUGCUUGGCCUGUUUUUCGCCUUGUGACGUGGUGUUUGGGGAGGAGAUUGGGGAUCGCUGUGGGCGUGAGGAGGGGAGUUAGGUGGGUGGAAGGCUUUUCGUCGAAGUGGAUAGAUAUGCGAUUGCCUCUUUUUCUCUCCGAAGGGGGAGUGGAGAGAGGUAACUCAAUGGGGCUCAUUCUUGAGGCGAGG